UACGUAGGGUGCAAGCGUUGUCCGGAAUUAUUGGGCGUAAAGAGCUCGUAGGCGGCCUGUCGCGUCGGAUGUGAAAAUCCAAGGCUCAACCUUGGACCUGCAUUCGAUACGGGCAGGCUAGAGUUCGGUAGGGGAGACUGGAAUUCCUGGUGUAGCGGUGAAAUGCGCAGAUAUCAGGAGGAACACCGGUGGCGAAGGCGGGUCUCUGGGCCGAUACUGACACUGAUGAGCGAAAGCCAGGGGAGCAAACGGG
rnacentral:rRNA from 1 species